rnacentral:rRNA from 1 species
GAAAUUAGAGUACCGAAGUAACAGAUUCCGCACUGACGAGAAAAGCCACUAUCGAGAGUAAAGGUACCCGUACCGCAAACCGACACAGGUAGGUGAGGAGAGAAUCCUAAGACGAUCGGGAGAAGCAUUGUUAAGGAACUCGGCAAAUUAACCCCGUAAGUUCGCAAGAAGGGGGUACCGAGACUGCAGAGAGCAUAACAGUUCUAUGUAGGAUUGGUCGCAGUGAAAAGGCCCAAGCAACUGUUUAUCAAAAACACAGGUCUCUGCCAAAUCGAAAGAUGAAGUAUAGGGGCUGACGCCUGCCCGGUGCUGGAAGGUUACGGGGAUUUGUAAUCCGCAAGGAGAAGCAAUGAACUUAAGCCCCAGUAAACGGCGGCCGUAACUAUAACGGUCCUAAGGUAGCGAAAUUCCUUGUCAGGUAAGUUCUGACCCGCACGAAUGGCGUAAUGAUUUGGGCACUGUCUCAACUAUGUACCCGGUGAAAUUGUAGUACUUGUGAAGAUGCAAGUUACCCGCGACUAGACGGAAAGACCCCAUGGAGCUUUACUGCAGCCUGAUACUGGGUUUCGGUAUUUUUUGUACAGGAUAGGUGGGAGACUAGGAGGCGUAGACGCCAGUUUACGCGGAGUCGACGUUGGGAUACCACUCUAAAGAUACUGGAACUCUAACCAGAGGCCGUGAACCGGUCUUGGGACACUGUCAGGCGGGCAGUUUGACUGGGGCGGUCGCCUCCCAAAGAGUAACGGAGGCGUCCAAAGGUUACCUCAGCGCGGUUGGAAAUCGCGCAACGAGUGCAAAGGCAUAAGGUAGCCUGACUGCGAGAGCAACAACUCGAGCAGGUACGAAAGUAGGGCUUAGUGAUCCGGUGGUAUGAAAGUGGAAUUGCCAUCGCUCAACGGAUAAAAGCUACCCUGGGAUAACAGGCUUAUCUCCCCCAAGAGUCCACAUCGACGGGGAGGUUUGGCACCUCGAUGUCGGCUCAUCGCAUCCUGGAGCUGAAGAAGGUUCCAAGGGUUUGGCUGUUCGCCAAUUAAAGCGGUACGCGAGCUGGGUUCAGAACGUCGUGAGACAGUUCGGUCCCUAUCUGUCGCGGGCGCAGGAUAUUUGAGGGGAUCUGUCCUUAGUACGAGAGGACCGGGAUGGACCGACCACUGGUGUACCAGUUGUCAUACCAAUGGCACAGCUGGGUAGCCAAGUCGGGCAUAGAUAAACGCUGAAAGCAUCUAAGCGUGAAACUAACCCCAAGAUGAGAUAUCCCAUUCCAGAGCAAUCUGGAAUUAAGACCCCAUGAAGACAACAUGGUUGAUAGGCCAGGUGUGUAAGUGCAGCAAUGUAUUGAGCUAACUGGUACUAAUAGGUCGAGGGCUUGACCAA